rnacentral:rRNA from 1 species
CGGCAGACGGGUGAGUAACGCGUGGGAAUCUGCCCUUUAGUGGAGAAUACCUUCGAGAAAUUGAAGUUAAUACUGCAUACGUCCCUCCGGGGAGAAAGAUGGCCUCUUUGCUAUCGCUAAAGGAUGAGCCUGCGUACUAUUAGCUAGUUGGUGGGGUAAAGGCCUACCAAGGCGAUGAUGGUUAGCCGGCCUGAGAGGGUGAACGGCCACAUUGGAACUGAGACACGGUCCAGACUCCUACGGGAGGCAGCAGUGAGGAAUAUUGCGCAAUGGGCGAAAGCCUGACGCAGCGACACCGCGUGAAGGAUGAAGGCUUUAGGGUCGUAAACUUCUGUUAAGUGGGAAGAAAGACAUGGUUUUAAUACAGCCAUGGGAUGACGGUACCGCUAGAGAAAGCACCGGCUAACUUCGUGCCAGCAGCCGCGGUAAGACGAGGGGUGCAAACGUUAUUCGGAAUGAUUGGGCGUAAAGGGUGCGCAGGCGGCACGCUAAGUCAACUGUUAAAUUCCCCAGCCUAACUGGGGGCCUGCAGUAGAAAC